rnacentral:snRNA from 1 species
GGAUCUGAGUUUUAUCACUCCCCCCACCCCCCACCCCUCACUCCCAUUGGUCAUCAGGGUUGAUACCACUAACCUGGCUGCCUAGGUAGGUAUUCCCUUCCUCUCUCACUGCUCCAUGUGCGUCCCUCCCACUCUGCCGAAGAGGACAACCUUCCUCAAUAGAAACAAACCGUCUUUGGUCAAGGGAGGGCUGCACUCCCCUGCUAGAGCCUCCAAAAAAGCUCUCAAAGUAAUGACAUGGAAGAAAUGUAAGAGGGAAUAUUUUUGCCACAGUGUCCAGCACACUCCAGUAGCUUCAAUCAGAUUUGCCACUAUAUCCUG